GGGCCGGGUGGUGGGUGACGCGGCCGCGUGCAGGCUCGCGGAGUCUGUGCGUGGCGGUGGCAAGCCCCAGGGUUCGGUAUUGUUAUGGUGAUUAUUUGCCAAUAAUCAAAGUCGCCGCCGGAAACUCAGCCGAGGGUGACCAUGGUCCAGGCGCCUCCUCCGUGCGGACCCCGCCCCGGGCCGCGCUCGCACGCGCUCGCACAAACUCGCACGCGAGUGCCUGGACGCGCCGGGCCGGGGAGCCCGGCUCUAUGCGCUGGACCCUCGGGCGACCGCGCCGAGGCCGCCGGCGCCGUAGUGGGGACCCGCGCCCCUCCGCGCACUUGAAGCGCAGCGCGGCCGCCGAUUGGCGCGCUCGGCGGGGGCUCGGGGAGGGGCGCCGGCCAGGCCAUUGGCGGAGGGGCGCACCUGUCACCGUCCGGGCCGCCCGCCGCCCCGCCCCUGCGCCGCGGGGUCCUAAACAACCGGGGUGCUGAGCCGCGAUGGCGGGGCGGAGACCGCGACCGGAGUUGCCCGACUCGGAGGCUCAACCUAGGGACCCCGCUCGCCCUGCUGCAAGUGCUGAGUGGGACAGCGGGCGCUGGCGGCCCUGGGUCCCGGUGUGGUCCCCGCGCUCUGAGGCCAGCUCCGGAGACAGGCUGUCCGGCUCUGGGCUCGGCGUGCCCUAGAGCCAGCGGCGUGCGUCUCCUCGCGCCUCCUCGCCAGCACUUGAGUUUUGUGCACUUCUGCGUCGGGGAGCCCACGUUGCUUGCAGAUCUAGCUGCUUUGCUCAGUGACGGUAGCACAACGAAGAUCAAACCGGUCCCCAAGCCCUGUUCUUGGGUCUCCAGGGUGCGCGGGAGCACUUUGUGUCCCUGUCGUCAACCCUCUGCAGGUCGAACCUUCUCAUCUCUGGGAAGUCCUGUGCGUUUCAGGUGCUGUGUGUGUGUGCGAGCGAGAGCUUGCCUUCCACAAGUCCUCGCCUUGAGCCUCUGCCCCGUCUAGGCGGAGCGGGCAGAGAGUCUGUGAGCCCCGCGGCCUGCAGGACCCAGGUCGGCUUGGAGACGUUGCCCACCUGCCAGUGAGAGGAUCCUCGGUGACAGAGCUCUUCCUCUCUGCGGAAGGAUACCCAUGGGCGUGAAGAGACGGCACCCACCUCGGUUCUGGAAAGCCUGCGGGAGCCGGUAGCCCUCCCGAGGCCACUCACUCUGACCCUGUACCCAUUGCUCCUAAACCCCUCAAAAUCCGUGGCGGGACGUGCGAGUCCUCACCCUGAGACCAGCUGAGCGCACUUCCUGGAAGCACAGACUGGACAGAUACUGAAUACUGCCUGCAGUCGCCCUUCUCCCACCACGUAGAAAGGAGAAUUGGUGGUUUAUACCAACAACUGCAAAAGAAAAAGCUGUUUGUAAUCCACGUCUAUUCAUGUCUGGAAUUAUAUACCUAUGAGGUUGGGAAUAAAAUCUAUAU